UACGUAGGGCGCAAGCGUUGUCCGGAAUUAUUGGGCGUAAAGAGCUCGUAGGCGGCCUGUUACGUCUGCUGUGAAAUCCCGGGGCUUAACCCCGGGCGUGCAGUGGAUACGGGCAGGCUGGAGGCAGGCAGGGGAGAACGGAAUUCCCGGUGUAGCGGUGAAAUGCGCAGAUAUCGGGAGGAACACCGGUGGCGAAGGCGGUUCUCUGGGCCUGGACUGACGCUGAGGAGCGAAAGCGUGGGGAGCGAACAGG
rnacentral:rRNA from 1 species